UGGGGAAUAUUGGACAAUGGGCGAAAGCCUGAUCCAGCCAUGCCGCGUGUGUGAAGAAGGUCUUCGGAUUGUAAAGCACUUUAAGUAGGGAGGAAGGGCAGUAAGCGAAUACCUUGCUGUUUUGACGUUACCGACAGAAUAAGCACCGGCUAACUCUGUGCCAGCAGCCGCGGUAAUACAGAGGGUGCAAGCGUUAAUCGGAAUUACUGGGCGUAAAGCGCGCGUAGGUGGUUCGUUAAGUUGAAUGUGAAAGCCCCGGGCUCAACCUGGGAACUGCAUCCAAAACUGGCGAGCUAGAGUAGGGCAGAGGGUGGUGGAAUUUCCUGUGUAGCGGUGAAAUGCGUAGAUAUAGGAAGGAACACCAGUGGCGAAGGCGACCACCUGGGCUCAUACUGACACUGAGGUGCGAAAGCGUGGAGAGCAAACAGG
rnacentral:rRNA from 1 species